rnacentral:rRNA from 1 species
AAACUUGUGCUAAUACUGGAUAAGUCUUUACGGAGAAAGCUUUAUGCACCAUUGGAUGAGCCUGCACUUGAUUAGUUUGUUGGUGGGGUAAUGGCCUACCAAGACUUUGAUCAAUAGCUGAUUUGAGAGGAUGAUCAGCCACAUUGGGACUGAGACACGGCCCAAACUCCUACGGGAGGCAGCAGUGGGGAAUCUUGCACAAUGGAGGAAACUCUGAUGCAGCGAUGCCGCGUGAGUGAAGAAGGCCCUUGGGUUGUAAAGCUCUUUCGUCGGGGAAGAA